AUGAUCCGCGAUUCCCGCCUGCCCGCUCUUUCUCUCCCCUUCACAUGGGAGCCAUCUUCUCUGAACCUGGACAUGAGGCUACACUUAGCCACGUGAUUAGACUCUAAAAAGCACUGCAGAGCCUGGCACCCAGCGCUGAAUUCCGCCACCACUUUCCUCUGCUGUCUGUAUUUUUACACAAGUUACUAAUGAAAACGUUAAAAACAGACACUGCUCGAGUGGCUCCACCGACGACGCCAAGGCUGCAAUCGGGUCAGCGCUGCCCGGUACUUCUCAGCCCUCUCACGUCUGCUUCUACUUCCUUUUCUCAAUCACAAAAAUACCAGGAAUGACUUUAUCAAAUGUCUAACUGAAAUCAAGAUAAGCUGGGUAUGUCACGUACCUGCUAAAUCCGCCAGUCUGUGAUCUGAACUGGAGAGGAAGGGAUUUUAUAAAAGGAUUAAGCAGUUCACUUUGGGGAUCAGUUUCUUAAAUAACCCUUCUUUAUCUGAAGGUACAGAAAUUACACACACAUACAACAUAAAGUUUGUUUUUAAGUUUCACAUAACAUUCAAGCUCAGGAGUUUCCUUCAUGGCUCAAUGGUUAACAAACCCGACUAGGAUGCGUGAGGAUGGGAGUUUGAUCCCCGGCUUCGCUCAGUGGGUUAAGGAUCUGGCACUGCCAUGAGCUGUGGUGUAGGUUGCACAUGUGGCUCAGAUCCCGCGUUGCUGUGGCUGUGGUGUAGGCCAAUAACUAUAGCUCCGAUUCGGCCCCUCGCCUGGGAACUUCCAUGUGUCAUGUGAGGUGGCUCUAAAAAGCAAAAAAAGCAAAAAACCAAAAAAACAUCCAAGCUCAGAAAGCAUCGUUUAGGUCUACUGAUCUCAAACAGAGGUCUUAAAAUAUCCUUAUCUGACCAAUGAAGACAACUACUUUUGAUAUUUCAGGGAAAGAAAAAAAUUCCAACUUCAGGAAAGAGUUUUAAAUAUUAGAGUACUUCAUUAGGCAAAUCCUGAAAUAAGAGAUAUUUAUGACCACUCUAAACAUUCUAAACAUGUAUUUUGGGGUUUCUACUCUCUAGAGUUAUUGUGAAUUUAGGUAUUGGAGAAGCAGAGCAGAAUCACGGAUCCAGAAAUUAACUAAAUUUGUAAAAGCAAAUGCACACAUACUAGUGGACCCUGGGGUGGCAGACAGGAGAAUGACAGGGCGCUGAGGCCAGAGUGGCUGGGGGCAGGCAGCGCGGGCCCCAAAGCCGCUGACGGCAUACGUCACUCCAGGCUGGCGGGUGGCAGCAGCAGCCACGGUCAUAGCUGCCCAGUUCUCACCUUCCUCACUCUGCUGCCCCCUCACAGCAAGCCUGGCAAGGAAACACCUGUUACCUGCUUGUACAGGGAAGAGCUGGAGCUUCAGGGUUAAAGGGCUUCCAAGCUCACAGAGCAGUCGGCGUCUUCAAGCCCACGUGCACCUGCAGCGAGACCCACGGGUGCUCAUGACCACUGGGCUCGCCUGGGACAGGACACGGCCCAUUUACAGACACUGUCCUCAAAAAUAACUAAAAUGGGAAAGCUGGGGCUUUCGACGGGUGAGCCUCGUUUCUCAGGAAACCACUCGGGGGGAUCCCCCGUGACUGAUGCUGGACGUGCUGCCACCCGAGAAGAACUUAGCUGAACUCUGCCGUCGGCAGCAAGCCCUUUCGUCUAAAAAGCACGAGCAUAAAUGUGAUCUCUCAUUCAUGCACAGGGGCAGUUAAGGUUUUAGAUUUUACCCAGUAUGGAAGUUACGCCUCGUACACUAAGUUUUCAGGAAGGGGCAUAUCUCUUUUGAUCAUGAGUGGUACUGGGUAAUUCCUAGAAGAAAUCACCCCCAGGAGGGGUCUGUCUAUAAGAACUGAUGCCCCCACAGCUGCCCCUAACUUACCCACCAGCUAAGCUGACACAUGCGGGGCGGACAGCGCCCACGUGUGCCCUGUAGAGGCGCUGCAGGGGGAAGCUGGGGACGCUCCACGGACACAAACCGAAGCUGAUAGCUCGUGAUGGCAAGUAUGCAAGUAUACUUCGAUACUGUGUUGUUCGGUCACCUCAAACCUGCACUUUGGGAACAUGCCAGUGUUUCCUUUUCAAACCCCAGGUUGUGAGAACUAAAAGAGGACAGGAGCUUUGUGAUGAGCCCUCUGCUUCCAUCAAAAUUAAGAUUCUUGGGAAACAAAUUCACGAAAACACUCAAGAGAUCCUUAAAAUGCUAUCCGUAGCACCUUAUAGAAAAUGAAACACAGUGGCCCCACGCAUCAAAAUUCCAAGCACUGGGGUCCAAUUACAGAGAAAAAAAAUGUCUCCUGUCUGAUCCCACCGAGGAUGGCAAUGAAGCCGUCUAUUUGCCACACAGCAGUGGCGUUUAAAUAUACGGCUUUUCUACGUUAUGAAAACACAGCCUUGUAAAGACUCUUUAAAGUUCAAGUCGAGUUUCAAGUAAUCACUUUGCAGCAGCUCUAGGAGAAUUAUUGUUCCUUCUGAUUAAAAGUGCCUAUUAAAAAAAAAAAAAAAGAGGUGGUAAAAUGGAAACUACGCCUUAGAGAAUUGUAUUCCUCAAGGCCGCUUACUGCUUUGCUUCCAGGCUUUUGUUAAAGGACAGAAUGUGUUGAAUU
ensembl:lncRNA